CAGAUGUUGCUCAUCGGUGACUUCAUCACGGCACAAUCAAACUGCGGAGGUUUUAUUAAAGUGGCAACUAGAACGUCCAAGUAGAGAACGGUGAAAGAGAUUUCAAAACUUUCCUGGUCAAAAUGCUCAUUACUGAAUUACAAAUGAUCCUGCACGGUACUAGUUACUCAACAAGGCUUCCCAAUAUGUCCGGCUAAACUAAAGCACCGAUUCCAAGAGUGGCAACGCUCUAUUGAUCCUGACGAACAGAAUGCAAUCAAGCAGCCUUGGGCUUGGGCUGAAGUCUCUUCAGUUGUGAGUACAGGAAAACUCCCGCAAGAGCGAUCGCGGUUCCUACAGACAAGACAUUUCAAAUAUGUAUAGAGGAUGUGAUACGAUCGAUAGAACGCACAUGAAAAACAGGUGCUUACCGAUAGAGUUGAUUGGAGACACAGGAGUCUUGAAGAACAGAACAGAUGUAACAAUGACCACCACACGCUUGACGCAGUUACCUACCGAAUGGGUAACUGGUGACACCCUUGCGAGGAUCAUGUAUGACACCUGCGAUAAAUCAGAAGACAAGUAAGAAUAUUUCGAGUAAGUACAGAAGUGCCUAGGCUUCUGAACGCAUGUGCUGGGCAUGUGCUACACAUAUGCAUAUACUGAUACAUGACUUGGCAUAAGUUUCAAACUAUUCAAAACCAGAAACAAAUUUAUUGAUCAAAGUAACAAAGACAUCCAAAGAUUCUAACAAAACGAACCAUCACACAACAGAAAACUGGAUAGAUGGCUGACCUGUUGGUAUGCAUGGAAACAGAAUGCGGCAAUCAAAGACCUUGUGUACACUUGUUGUAAGUUCAGACCCUGCACAGGAAAGAACAUAGUAAGAAUUCAAACGAGACAGUGUGCUUAUAAGGUUGAGCAGACAAAUAAACAGUGGAUACUCACAGCAGACUGCAGAUAAGUAGGAGUGACCUUAACACCUUCGGUCAACAAGGUUACAGGAGCUAGAAGGAAGAAUGACAUGACUGUAAUAAUCGAGAAGAGAUUGAUG
rnacentral:lncRNA from 1 species